GAUAAACGCUGGCGGCGCACAUAAGACAUGCAAGUCGAACGGACUUAACCAUUAGUUUACUAUUGGAGCGGUUAGUGGCGGACUGGUGAGUAACACGUAAGCAACCUGCCUAUCAGAGGGGAACAACAGUUAGAAAUGACUGCUAAUACCGCAUAUGCCUUAAUUACCACAUGGUAGUAGAGGGUAAAGGAGCAAUCCGCUGAUAGAUGGGCUUGCGUCUGAUUAGAUAGUUGGUAAGGUAACGGCUUACCAAGUCGACGAUCAGUAGCCGGACUGAGAGGUUGAACGGCCACAUUGGGACUGAGAUACGGCCCAG
rnacentral:rRNA from 1 species